AGCGAACGCUGGCGGCAGGCCUAACACAUGCAAGUCGAGCGCCCAGCAAUGGGAGCGGCAGACGGGAGAGUAACACGUGGGAACGUACCCUUCAGUUCGGAACAACCCAGGGAAACUUGGGCUAAUACCGAAUACGUCCGUAAGGAGAAAGAUUUAUCGCUGAAGGAUCGGCCCGCGUCUGAUUAGCUAGUUGGUGAGGUAACGGCUCACCAAGGCGACGAUCAGUAGCUGGUCGAGAGGAUGAUCAGCCUCACUGGGACUGAGACACGGCCCAGACUCCUACGGGAGGCAGCAGUGGGGAAUAUUGGACAAUGGGCGCAAGCCUGAUCCAGCCAUGCCGCGUGGAUGAUGAAGGCCCUAGGGUUGUAAAGUCCUUUCGACGGGGAAGAUAAUGACGGUACCCGUAGAAGAA
rnacentral:rRNA from 1 species